UAGAUACCCUAUUAUUUCUAAUGUGAAGUUUUCAACCUGAUUAGUAUUAGUUAUGUUCUUGAAAAUUAAAGAUUUUGGCGGUAUUUUAGUCCAUUCAGAGGAACCUGUCCUGUAAUCGAUGAUCCACGAUAAAUUGUACUUUUUUUAAAUAAUUUGCAUAUCGUUGUAGUUUGAAUAUGUUUAUAAAUUAAAAAUAUUCAUAAUUUUAAUUUUAAAAAAAAAUCAGAUCAAGGUGUAGUUUAUAGAAAAGUAAGAGAUGGGUUACAUUAAUAUUUAAUUUGGGAUUAAUUUUUGAAAUUAAAUUAUGAAUUAGGAUUUGAUAGUAAUUUUAUUUAUUUUAUUAAAAUGAUUGAGGCUCUAAAAUAUGCACAUAUCG
rnacentral:rRNA from 1 species